AACGGUUUCACCUUUCACGGUGU
rnacentral:snRNA from 1 species